UACGUAGGGGGCAAGCGUUGUCCGGAUUUAUUGGGCGUAAAGAGCGUGUAGGCGACUUUACAGGUCCGUUGUGAAAACUCGAGGCUCAACCUCGAGACGCCGGUGGAAACCGUAAAGCUAGAGUCCGGAAGAGGAGAGUGGAAUUCCUGGUGUAGCGGUGAAAUGCGCAGAUAUCAGGAGGAACACCCGUGGCGAAAGCGGCUCUCUGGGACGGUGCUGACGCUGAGACGCGAAAGCGUGGGGAGCAAACAGG
rnacentral:rRNA from 1 species